rnacentral:rRNA from 1 species
UACGAAGGGGGCUAGCGUUGCUCGGAAUCACUGGGCGUAAAGCGCACGUAGGCGGCUUACUAAGUCAGGGGUGAAAUCCUGGAGCUCAACUCCAGAACUGCCUUUGAUACUGGUAAGCUCGAGUCCGGGAGAGGUGAGUGGAACUGCGGGUGUAGAGGUGAAAUUCGUAGAUAUUCGCAAGAACACCAGUGGCGAAGGCGGCUUCCUGGACCGACACUGACGCUGAGGCGCGAAAGCUAGGGGAGCAAACGGG